UACGUACUGUGCGAACGUUAUUCGGAAUCACUGGGCUUAAAGGGUGCGUAGGCGGUUAUCUAAGUAGGGUGUGAAAUCCCCCGGCUCAACCGGGGAACUGCGCUCUAAACUGGAUGGCUUGAGUAAGAUAGGGGUGUGCGGAACUUCCGGUGGAGCGGUGAAAUGUGUUGAUAUCGGAAGGAACACCAGUAGCGAAAGCGGCACACUGGGUCUUAACUGACGCUGAGGCACGAAAGCUAGGGUAGCGAAC
rnacentral:rRNA from 1 species